GACAGAGGGUGCAAACGUUGCUCGGAAUCACUGGGCGUAAAGGGCGUGUAGGCGGGAAUGUAAGUCGGGCGUGAAAUCCCUAGGCUCAACCUAGGAACUGCACUCGAAACUGCGUUUCUUGAGUAUCGGAGAGGAAAGCGGAAUACCUGGUGUAGAGGUGAAAUUCGUAGAUAUCAGGUGGAACACCAGUGGCGAAGGCGGCUUUCUGGACGAUAACUGACGCUGAGACGCGAAAGCGUGGGGAGCAAAC
rnacentral:rRNA from 1 species